GGCUCCGUGGCUUAGCAGGUUAAAGCGCCUGUCUUGUAAACAGGAGAUCCUGGGUUCGAGUCCCAGCGGGGCCU
rnacentral:tRNA from 1 species